rnacentral:rRNA from 1 species
UUCGCAAUGCCCGAAAGGGUGACGAAGCGACGCCGCGUGUGGGAAGAAGGCCUUCGGGUUGUAAACCACUGUCGGGAGUUAAGAAAUGUAAGGGUGUUAAUAGCGCCUUUACUUGACAAAGGCUCCGGAGGAAGCCACGACUAACUCUGUGCCAGCAGCCGCGGUAAUACAGAGGCGGCAAGCGUUGUUCGGAAUUAUUGGGCGUAAAGAGCACGUAGGCGGCUUUGCAAGUCAGUUGUGAAAGCCUUCCGCUUAACGGAAGAACAGCAGCUGAUACUACAGAGCUUGAGUACGGGAGGGGAGAGUGGAACUUCUGGUGGAGCGGUGAAAUGCGUAGAUAUCAGAAGGAACGCUGGCGGCGAAAGCGAUUCUCUGGUCCGAAACUGACGCUGAGUGUGCGAAAGCUAGGGGAUCAAACGGGAUUAGAUACCCCGGUAGUCCUAGCCGUAAACGAUGGGCACUAAGUAGAGGGGUUUU